rnacentral:rRNA from 1 species
AGCAGUAGCCGCGGUAACACGAAGGGUGCAAGCGUUAAUCGGAAUUACUGGGCGUAAAGCGUGCGUAGGCGGUUUGUUAAGUCUGUUGUGAAAUCCCAGGGCUCAACCUGGGAAUGGCAAUGGAUACCGGCAAGCUAGAGUGUGUCAGAGGAUGGUGGAAUUCCCGGUGUAGCGGUGAAAUGCGUAGAGAUCGGGAGGAACAUCAGUGGCGAAGGCGGCCAUCUGGGACAACACUGACGCUGAGGCACGAAAGCGUGGGGAGCAAACAGGAUUAGAUACCCCAGUAGUCCCUGUCUCUUAUAC